GUAAUAUGUUAAGAUGAAAGUGUUCUAGAGUGUGUAUAACAGACACUCUAGAACAUUUUCAUCUUAACAUAUUACAAAGUGU